rnacentral:rRNA from 1 species
AUUGAACGCUGGCGGCAGGCCUAACACAUGCAAGUCGAGCGGAGCGGCUGACGGGUGAGUCAUGCCCAGGAAUCUGCCUGGUCGUGGGGGAUAACGUCCGGCAACGGGCGCUAAUACCGCAUACUAUCAUCUGAGCCUAGGUCGGAUUAGCUAGUUGGUUGGGUAACGUCCUACCAGGGCGACGAUCCGUAACUGGGCUGAGAGGAUGAUCAGGCCCACUGGAACGGUGACACGGUCCAGACGCCGACGUGAGUCAGCAGGGGGUAAGAUUGGACAAUGGGCGAAGGCCUGAGCCAGCCAUGCCGCGAGUGUGAAGAGGGUCUUCGGAUUUUAAAGCACUUUAAGUUGGGAGGCGUUACCAACAGAAUAAGCACCGGCUAACUUCGUGCCAGCAGCCGCGGUAAUUC